AAGUCGUAACAAGGUUUCCGUAGGUGAACCUGCGGAAGGAUCAUUGACAAAUCUAAACAAUGUUGCUUGUAGCCGGUAGCAAUACCAGCUACAAGUUAACAAACAUACUAACCUGUGAAUUGGCAGCACGCAAGUGUUGUUUGUGUGAAGUGUGAGUGUAGGAAUCUUAGCCUAGAUGGCUACUAUGCCUUCACUUACCUUUGCCUAAAUUAACGUAACCAAUUGUCUUACAAAAACAAAACAAAAUACAACUUUUAGCAAUGGAUCUCUUGGCUUCUGUAACGAUGAAAAACGCAGC
rnacentral:misc_RNA from 1 species